rnacentral:snoRNA from 1 species
UUGCAGCCAUCUGACAGAGCUGAAGCACUCACUGUUGGCUGCUAAGGUUUCCACUACAGAUGCAAGACAAAAGAACCCUUUUCUUUUCUGUCUGAUCGUGGCAGCCAAGAUUGAAUAAAGAAAUACAGAA